AGAGUUUGAUCCUGGCUCAGGAUGAACGCUGGCGGCGUGCCUAAUACAUGCAAGUCGAACGCUUCACUUCGGUGAAGAGUGGCGAACGGGUGAGUAAUACAUAAGUAACCUGGCAUCUACAGGGGGAUAACUGAUGGAAACGUCAGCUAAGACCGCAUAGGUGUAGAGAUCGCAUGAACUCUAUAUGAAAAGUGCUACGGGACUGGUAGAUGAUGGACUUAUGGCGCAUUAGCUUUGGUAGGGUAACGGCCUACCAAGGCGACGAUGCGUAGCCGACCUGAGAGGGUGACCGGCCACACUGGGACUGAGACACGGCCCAGACUCCUACGGGAGGCAGCAGUAGGGAAUUUUCGCAAUGGGGGAAACCCUGACCGAGCAACGCCGCGUGAAGGAAGAAGUAAUUCGUUAUGUAAACUUCUGUCAUAGAGGAAGAACGGUGGAUAUAGGGAAUGAUAUCCAAGUGACGGUACUCUAUAAGAAAGCCACGGCUAACUACGUGCCAGCAGCCGCGGUAAUACGUAGGUGGCGAGCGUUAUCCGGAAUUAUUGGGCGUAAAGAGGGAGCAGGCGGCACUAAGGGUCUGUGGUGAAAGAUCGAAGCUUAACUUCGGUAAGCCAUGGAAACCGUAGAGCUAGAGUGUGUGAGAGGAUCGUGGAAUUCCAUGUGUAGCGGUGAAAUGCGUAGAUAUAUGGAGGAACACCAGUGGCGAAGGCGACGAUCUGGCGCAUAACUGACGCUCAGUCCCGAAAGCGUGGGGAGCAAAUAGGAUUAGAUACCCUAGUAGUCCACGCCGUAAACGAUGAGUACUAAGUGUUGGGGGUCAAACCUCAGUGCUGCAGUUAACGCAAUAAGUACUCCGCCUGAGUAGUACGUUCGCAAGAAUGAAACUCAAAGGAAUUGACGGGGGCCCGCACAAGCGGUGGAGCAUGUGGUUUAAUUCGAAGCAACGCGAAGAACCUUACCAGGUCUUGACAUCGAUCUAAAGGCUCCAGAGAUGGAGAGAUAGCUAUAGAGAAGACAGGUGGUGCAUGGUUGUCGUCAGCUCGUGUCGUGAGAUGUUGGGUUAAGUCCCGCAACGAGCGCAACCCCUGUUGCCAGUUGCCAGCAUUAAGUUGGGGACUCUGGCGAGACUGCCGGUGACAAGCCGGAGGAAGGCGGGGAUGACGUCAAAUCAUCAUGCCCCUUAUGACCUGGGCUACACACGUGCUACAAUGGACAGAGCAGAGGGAAGCGAAGCCGCGAGGUGGAGCGAAACCCAUAAAACUGUUCUCAGUUCGGACUGCAGUCUGCAACUCGACUGCACGAAGAUGGAAUCGCUAGUAAUCGCGAAUCAGCAUGUCGCGGUGAAUACGUUCUCGGGCCUUGUACACACCGCCCGUCACACCAUGAGAGUCGGUAACACCCGAAGCCGGUGGCCUAACCGCAAGGAAGGAGCUGUCUAAGGUGGGACUGAUGAUUGGGGUGAAGUCGUAACAAGGUA
rnacentral:rRNA from 1 species